UCCAAAUUGGCAGGAAAAAGACAUGUGGGGAUUUUUCUACUUUAGGAAGAUGUAGACAAAAGAAUGAAUAUAGUGAUACUAUAAUUGAAUGAUUAUGUCUUCAUAGUAAAAAAGUAUAGAAAAUCAAAUAUGUUCAUAAAAAAUAGUUAAAUAUGUUUUUAGUUUCUAAACUAUUAAUUGAUUUUGUUUUGUUUCCUAUUUUCAAACUUUGGUACAAUUUGAUUCUUCUCCUUACGGAAAUCAUAAUUUUUCGUCCUCCAAAAUCAAUGGAGCUGGCUAACGAUAGUGCCAUGUGAUUUGACACUGAGUCAAUCUUUCCCAGCUUUUCUCCCUUCAUCAUUGGCAUCGUCUUAUCUGCAUCCCCGUCCACGUCACAACCUCGUCACCAAUUUCAACCACAAACCUUCGUCCCCAUCCCUGACCGCCGUCUUCAACGUUGAUUCCCUCCGGCUACUCCCCCCUCAAACGCCCCCUCCCUGAAUACCUCAAAUACGGCAUAAUCAACUUCUUAACAUCCAUAGUGAUUAGUGCAUUGUAAUUAAAAUUCAUUUCAUACAUGUAUCAACAUGGUAAAGUAAAGUGAAGAAGAAGUUAACAAACCCUAAU
rnacentral:lncRNA from 1 species